CUCUCCACUUUUUAGGGUUCACUCAUUCAUUCUCUGGUUUUUCAAGUCAAAAAAGUUGCUCCUGAUGUUAGACGAAGAAAUGCCAAGCUCUCAUUCUCUUUUGUCUUCCCCGACAAACAAUUAUUUCAAAGUCCAAGAGGUAAUGUAAUUCUUCUCUCUACUCAGCGUUCAAUUAUAGUUUCCUCGCGAUUAUGGAAAAUUGCAGAGAAAUGUGACUUCUACGGCUACAAUUGUGGUGGAAAAGGCAUAACUUCAAAAAAAGUUGGAACCCUAAAAUUUCUUGAAUGUUCGAGAAGGUAGAUUUGGAAGGGAACGGAGGCGGUGCAUUACAAUUUGGCGAUGGCGGUGAUGGAGAUUACCGCAGUGGCGGAGAAAGACACGGAGUUGAGGAAAUCGACGUUCAAGCCAAACUCACCCGCUUGCAAGGCUAUUGUGGAUCAAGAAAGCGGAUUCUUUGCAUAAAGACGAUUGGGAAUUUGGCCAGAACGUUCAACACGACGAAGUCGGAUGAUUGGGCCAGAACGUGCACGGAGAAUUACCUCCACGUGGAUCACUCCAAGGCCAUCAUAAGUGCUGGUGGUGCCAAGCACUUGAUUCAGCUUGUGUAUUUUAUGGAUAUAUUGGACAAUUUUAUAUGGAUACUCCCAUGACAACGAAGGUCAUAAAUGUUUGAAGUAGUCCAUAAACAAACGUGUAAGGAAUUCAAAUGAUUGGAUAUCUCUUAUUUUUAUGAUUACAAAAGCUAGCUUUGUUAAAUUUGGAAGGGUGCCAUGUAACAGCUGCAUGUUUGGAUUCUCUUGCAGCCCCAUAUGCAUUCUAAACACAUUCACAUGCUGAAAAAUAUGACAACCCCAACUUCGUUGUGAAACUUUUAACUUUUACAAAAUGGCACGAUGAGAUUUAGCAAUAUGAAAUGAUCGUGCUAUCAAGAAUCAAGACAUGACAGCACACAGUUUCUUAGAAAUAGGUGCAGCAGCUCUACUUGUAGGAGACAUUGAAUCUAAGAUGAAGGGGCAACCAUGGAAAUUUUUUGGAACUGAUGAUAUGCCUUACCUUGAUCAGCUAUUGCAGUCUUCCCCUAUAACACCAAUUACUGAUUGCGACUCUGCUCGUCCUCAUAUGAGAGCAAUAACAACAUCUAAACGCACCAAGCCAGGCUCUCAUCAAAUAUGGCAUGUUCUUUUAUCGACUUGCAUUGAUAUUUUUCUAUUUCUAUUUUUUGUUUAAAUUUUUUUAUCAAAGUUCAUGACAGGAUAAAAAAUCUUACAGAAAUUGUUGUGUUGAGCCAAAUAUUAUAUAAAAAGUUGAGCUAUCACCUUCAAUAUAGUUUAGAGUUAUUGUGAAAUUGAAGUACUUAGGAUUAAAAGGAAAUGGUGCAUAAAAUUUUAGAUUAGCCUGCAAAACACAAAUGCAUUAAUAUAAGAAUCAUAAUUAUACAUUUCUGUUGUAGGCUUCUAUGAAAAUAAAUCUUAAUAUAAGAAUUAUAAUUAUGCAUUUCUGUUCAUGAAUGGAAAUUUCUUAUUGAUUACUUGAUCGGUUGGGGGUGGGGAGUGAUGAAUUGAUUUUAUAAAUUCAGGUUUUCUCUUUGUACUCUUUUCUGUACUCAUUUUGUUUCAUGUAAUCUUGUUCUUUUGCCCUGCAUAGUGUCUUUUUAUUCUUAAAAGAAAUUGAAAUUGUAAUCUUUAUGCAGUACUUUGGGGUUCUGUUUGGUUUGUUAACCACUCAUUUCCAUAAAGAUUGUAAUGUUCCAUGAAUAUCAAGUUGUUUAUAUGGGCAAAAUUACGUGAUAAAUAAUUGAAUUGGUUGCCAACUGUUUGAUACUUUCUCUCUCUGGGGAUAAAUGUUUAGGGCAAAACUUAGGUACAGUUCUUUAGAACAGAGUUUCUAUUCCUACUUUUUCUCACUUUGUAAUAGUUUUCUGGUAUGCUUGUUUAUAUUUUAUCUAUGCAUAGAAUUGAUCUCUUUAUAAAGGUUAAAUGAAUCUGGGUUUGAUGCGCUCUAUUGUUACUUUGUAGAUUUUUUUUUAGGUCUUUUGAACAGAAGUUAUUUUUAAAAUCUAGACACAAGUGGUAAACAAAAUAGAUUACAUUUUUUGGGUCAUCAAAAAGAUUGAUUCUAUGAACAAUUAAAAUAUAAAUAAGUGAAACAGCAAUAUAUGGGAAUCAGUUAUGAUGUCACCACUGUUCUUGAUUAUCCUGUUGAAAAAUAGAAUAUCUAAAAUUUCAUAGGAUUUUGGUAUUGUUAAACCAUAUUAAUUUCAAAUGAUUACUUUAAAAGGAAAUGAUAUUUUCUACCAUAUUUUUCCAGACUCACCUUGUUUCUUAAAUAUCAGGAUUCACCAGAUACUCUGUGAGACUUCUUUCAGUUGCUGUUUCAAUAUUUGGACCACGAAUGAUUGUUGAAGAAGUCUUUAUUAAGAGCAAAAGUCACGUUUCUAGUCAGCUUUCAUAUGAUGGGGAUAAAGUAGGGGAAACUGAAGACUUUAUGCAAAUAUUCAAGAAUAUAUUUGUUCCUUGGUGUUUGCAAUUAAAUAGUUGCUCAACCAGUGCUAGGCUAGAGUUAUUGUUGGCACUGCUAGAUGAUGAGUAUUUCUCAGAACAAUGGUCUUUCAUUAUCAACUAUGUGACCAACAUUAUGCCUUAAUUAGUAAAUGAAAGUACAAUUAAAAUA